UUAGACCUUUGAGAAACCAAGACAGAAAAAAAGGUUAUCAGAUGAAAAUCAUACAAUCACAAGGUUGGAAAGGACCUACAAACAAGAUCAUCUAGUCCAACUGUCCUCCCAUUACCAUUGCCACCACAAGCCACUAAACCGUAUCUCAUAGCUCCUCAUCCAGACGCCUCUUGAACACUGCCAGGGACGGUGACUCCACCGCCUCCCUGGGCAGGCCAUUCCAGUGCCUGACCACUCUCUGAGAGAAAAACUUCUUCAUGAUGUCUAUUCUAAACCUCCUCUGAUACAACUUGUGGCCAUUUCCUCGGGUCCUGUUUGUUGCCUGGGAGAAGAGGCCAAACCCCUCCUCAUCACAACCUCCCUUCAGGAAGUUGUAGAGUGCAGUGAGGUCUCCCCUGAGACCUCCUCUCUCCAGACUGAACAAUCCCAGCUCCCUCAGCUGCUCCUCAUAAGACUUGUGCUCCAGACCCCUCACCAGAUUUGUUGCCCUUCUCUGGACACGCUCCAGGGUCUCAACGUCUGUCUUGUAGAGAGGGAUCCAAAACUGAACACAAUACUCAAGGUGCGGCCUCACCAGUGCUGAGUACAGGGGGAUUAUCACCUCCCUGCUCCUGCUGGCCACACCAUUUCUAAUGCAUUUCUAAUGCAGGCCAGGAUGCCGUUGGCCCUCUUGGCCACCUGGGCACACUGUCGGCUCAUGUUCAGCUGAGCAUCAACCAACACCUCCAGGUCCUUCUCUUCUCCACAAUCAUCCAGCCACUCAUCCCCAAGCCUAUAACGCUGCAUGGGGUUGUUGUGGCCAAAGUGCAGGACCCGACACUUGGCCUUGUUGAACCUCAUCCCAUUCACCUCAGCCCAGCGGUCCAGCCUGUCUAAAUCCCUCUGAAGGGCUGCCCUACCCUCAGGCAGAUCGACACCACCUCCCAGCUUGGUGUCAUGUCCCAGCAGUAGAGUCAUGAAAAGAUGUAAUUUCCCUGGCCUUGAGCGUGGUUUAAUGGGCACGGUGGUGACGGACUGAUUGGUUGGACUAGAUGACCUACAGUUCUUUUUCAACCCUAAUGAUUCUAUAAUUCCUUCUAGGGGCAUGGUGGCGAUGGGCUGACAGUUGCACCUGACGAUCUGAGAGAGUGGGUACAAGCAGGUGUUUCACUUUGUUGACAUGCAGAAUUCAGGAGCCUAGACUGAAAAUAAAAUAAAUAAACAGAAGUUGCUCAUAGGAGAGCACUUUGCCUUGAAUGUC